GGGCCUGUAGCUUAGCUGGUAGAGCGCUGCUAUGGCAUAGCAGAGGUCGUCGGUUCGAAUCCGAUCGGGUCCACCA
rnacentral:tRNA from 1 species